UUCCCUCUUGUGUGAGGGGAUCUUGUCACAGUCCCCCCCCCCCCCCCCUCUGCAUAAGCCACGCUGACUCCAAGCAGCUUUACCAUUCCGCUACCGUGAAAACUAUUGUGUUCUUGCCGUUGGUCAUUUUUCCUCAAACUACCAAAUCAUCCAAGUGGGUUAUUUAGUUGGAGUUAGAUUUCUCUGCAGCCGGAUCAAAUCCAGUUUAGUUUUCCAUUUAGUGCCUUCACUAUUGGGAACGGGGAGUCGGAGCCAGCAGCAGCUCACACUCGGAGUGAAAGUCCCCCUGUCCCUUCAGGAUCGUAGCAAAACAACACACUGACGGAGAAUUUCUGCUUUUUUAGGACUUGAUAUGUAUUGUAGCUUUGGUUUAAGAGUAGCCCAAAGUCCAAAGGUCCAUCUGAGGAUGACAAAGUGAUUCUUUUCUGGCUCCAGAGGGCAGUGAUUAAAAGCUGGGAUUGAUUCCCUGGCCCACACUGACAUCUAGUGGUGGGAUCUUGGGCUGAGUAACACCUGUCUGGAGUCAAACAUUCUGGUGGGAAUCACAUGUAUAUCGGGCACUAUUAAAUGAUGUUGUUGAUUUUCCAAACUGUUGGAAGAAGUCUUAAAUCCCUCAAUUUUAAAUCUGCAUCCCUGGAUCUUUUAAGAGUUUCUAUUCGGUUCCUUUUUGGCGGUUUGAAAAGGAAAAGUCCGUAAUCUUUUGGGGACACCUGCUAGAUGCUACUGGGACUCGUGGUUUUAGCGUUAAACCAAAUUUGAACCAAACAAUGCUGUGAUGGAGUCAAGUCUCAAGUGGAACGCCCCGUACAUCCAAAUCUGUUGAUUUACCUGUUGGAAGACGUUGUGAUGAGUAGUUUACACUUUAUUAAGCUGUCUAAAUGUAGAAGCGAAAAGGGUUAGGAGACUCACUCAUUCAGCUUCAUAAGGAAAUGUUCAAAUACAAAGAGUUUGAGCUGCAAACACUGAUCACAAAGCUUAGCUGGAUGUCCAACACAAGCUGAGCUGUGCUCCUCACUGUACAGACGGCCGCGUCCUCGGGUUUAAUCCCUGGUGUUUGUUUGGUUCCAGUUGAUUCGGAGGCAUUUAUUACCCAUGUGGUGUUGUCUUGUAACCGUUGAUUUUUGCUGAUUGUGUUAAUUUAUUCUGUAGAGGUGAACAGAGGACUUUAGGGUUUGGAAGCUGACACCCAGGUGGCACUGUGGCUUCAUAACUGGACCUUAAACCUUUUGUGGGCAAUUGCAUAUUUGUCCACCUAAUAAAAAAAGAAAGAAAGAAAGAAAAAAGACAUUCCGAACUGAUGUCGGAACACGAUUAAAAGGUCCUCUGGGUCUUUUAUUUGUUGACAUCAACGAUUCAACAAUGUACAUUACACAAUGUCUCAAGAUGAUUACACAUAUAGAUGUUUAGAGAUAUAGAGAUACAUACUGAUGCUAUCGGCAAGGAACUGUUGCUACACAUGCAACCUUUUAAAGUGAUGUUAGCAGAAUAAUUUGGUUGAUUCCAGAGAGAUGAACCUGGGAUCAACCAAACAACUUUACAGCAGGAUUGAAUCGUAUGAAUGUACCAUCCAAUGUGAAGUGAAGAAUAUUUUAUGUGCUUUUUUUCUUUUCUUUUUGUGCUCUUUGUGCUCACUUCUCUGUGCUUUUGGGUUUGUUUGUUUUUGCUUUGUGUCAUCUCGGAAAGCACAAAAAUGCAUGAACGAGGCGGAGAAGAAGCAGCGACGACAUGCCGUUAAUGUAGGAAGUGAUCCACGUCCGCCAUGCGAGGCCAAUCGCUGCACAUUACACUGUUCUCCUGUCCGACACAGAUGGAGAACCAUGGAGGUACAGGAAUAUUCAGCAACAAAGUACAAGCCAGAUCUGUUACACCAGAACUGCUUUAUACGAAUACAGAGAAGAAGCUGCUUCUGAGCUUCAUCUCAGUUUUGGUUGAAAUGGAGACACUGAGUCAGCUGCACCAGCUCGCAGAGAUUCAAAUCUUUAGAGGCGUGAUGACAUGCGGUUGGAUAUCCGCUGGGAGCCGCGCUGGGGAACAUGAGCAGAUUUUGUGGUUUCCGCUCACGGGACGCCGGUCCGGUCCUAAAGAGGAAGCUUUUUCCGUUUGAGCCGUCGCUGUGAGAUCUGCUUCCGCCUCAGAGUGACAUCACGCUCGUUUCCAUACGCAGAAUUUAUUUUGAUUUUUUUUCCAACAAGGUUGAAAUGUCUUUUUGGUGAUUUUCUGAAUAUUGUGUUGAUGAUCUGUUUCGUUCCAAUGACUGUUUAUUGGUGGAUAUUAAAGGGGAAUGCCAACUUAUGAAUUCUAACAGAAGUGGAUCCUAGUGAACAGGCACCACUUGGGAAACUUCUAAUUUAUGAACACUGAAAUCUUUAAUCUUCACCCGAGUGGUGUUUGAUCACUUUACAUAACUGACCGGUCAACAUAGACAGAAUUUGUAAAACGGUUGGCGUUUCCCUUUAAAGGUUUACUUAUGUGAAAUCAACCUCAGAAAUCUUUCUGUACAAAAUAUUGCUGAUAAUCAUUCCAUUGCACAUAGUUUACGUUGCGUUUUAAUGCAAAAUCUUAAUUUUGUGGGGAAAUCUGUUUUAUUGUGUUAAUAUUAUUGAAAAAUGUAAAUAUUCCGUUCUGGCAAAUGGGCCGUUCUACAUUUAUAUAAAAAAAAUCUUCUGAGUUUAUCGAUUAAAAUGAUAUUAAUAAGCAGGAGACUUUUUAAUAAACUAUAUUUGUUACACUUCUAUUGUGAAUAAAAUAAUCUUUUAAUAAGCGUUGGUUUGAGAUUUUGUUCUUUCCGACCUGCUUCAUUUAACGUUUCAGCUUAUCUGAACACAUUCACUUAUUCAUUUGCAGUUUUUACUGACUUCAAUGUUUCGAGCCGGGAAUAAAAUCUGAAGUUAAUAAACG
ensembl:lncRNA